GCGGUGGAGCGCUCCGACAGAGAGGAAAUUUAACGAGAAAGGAAGGAAGCUGGAAAAGCCAAAGAUAAAAGAUUGGAAAUAGACUCCGGAAAGCGGAAAGCCGGAA
rnacentral:sRNA from 1 species